rnacentral:lncRNA from 1 species
GUAUAAUCUACACAGUAAAAGGGUCGGCUUCCAUCUUUGAUAUAGACACAUAGCAAAAAAAAGGAGAGCUCACUGGAACUCUCCAUUUUUUAAACCACAAGAGCACACACUCGCUCACCAUUUUCCACGAUUCACACACAGAAAAAUAGUGACCAGCACCGACCUCUCUAUUUCUGAAUACACACAUCACACACACAACACACAUAAAAAGGAGAAUGAUGUGAGAGAUAGAGAUCGAGAGAGAGAUGAACAUAGUUUGAGCGAGAGAGAGAGAUCUAGUCGUAGGAAAAGAAAAAUGAGGGAGAGAAACAAAGCAUCAGCUUGUUCACGUUACUGUUCCGACGACCAUUCAUCGUAGGAAAAUGAUACAUCCUCACCGAUUUAACACUAUUUUGGGCUCAAAAUUGAUUGAGAAUUUGGAUUCAAAAACUAGGUUUUUGAUUCGAGUCAAAAUUUGGGUUUCGUUGCGAUUUCGAAUCGGUCGUUCUUAUUCAGGUUGUUUCCGACAAGGUCCCGUCGGAAUUACAUACUGUUUUUCUUGGCUUUUCUCUUUCAUAAUCUGGUUUCGGUUGUUCAGGUGUAGUUUUGGGCUUCGAUUCCUGAAACUGAGUUGGAUUUGGGUUUGUCAUUGAGUUUUUCUAAUUCGGGGUUCUUGGACACACGAAUUUGUUUUCUCGAUUGACUGAUAUUUGGAAUAAAAUCAUCAUUGAGGUCCAUCUCUACUCUUUUCCUUUUUUUAUUUCAUUGUUGAUAAAAUAUGGG